GGGUUGUGAGGUUAAGCGACUAAGCGUACACGGUGGAUGCCCUGGCAGUCAGAGGCGAUGAAGGACGUGCUAAUCUGCGAAAAGCGUCGGUAAGGUGAUAUGAACCGUUACAGCCGGCGAUGUCCGAAUGGGGAAACCCAGUGUGAUUCGUCACACUAUCGUUAACUGAAUACAUAGGUUAACGAGGCGAACCGGGGGAACUGAAACAUCUAAGUACCCCGAGGAAAAGAAAUCAACCGAGAUUCCCCCAGUAGCGGCGAGCGAACGGGGAGCAGCCCAGAGUCUGAAUCAGCUUGUGUGUUAGUGGAACGGUCUGGAAAGUCCGACGGUACAGGGUGAUAGUCCCGUACACCAAAAUGCACAGGCUGUGAACUCGAAGAGUAGGGCGGGACACGUGGUAUCCUGUCUGAAUAUGGGGGGACCAUCCUCCAAGGCUAAAUACUCCUGACUGACCGAUAGUGAACCAGUACCGUGAGGAAAGGCGAAAAGAACCCCGGCGAGGGAGUGAAAAAGAACCUGAAACCGUGUACGUACAAGCAGUGGGAGCACCUUCGGGUGUGACUGCGUACCUUUGUAUAAUGGGUCAGCGACUUAUAUUCUGUAGCAAGGUUAACCGUAUAGGGAGCCGCAGGAAACCGAGUCUUAACUGGGCGUUAAGUUGCAGGGUAUAGACCCGAAACCCGGUGAUCUAGCCAUGGGCAGGUUGAAGGUUGGGUAACACUAACUGGAGGACCGAACCGACUAAUGUUGAAAAAUUAGCGGAUGACUUGUGGCUGGGGGUGAAAGGCCAAUCAAACCGGGAGAUAGCUGGUUCUCCCCGAAAGCUAUUUAGGUAGCGCCUCGUGAAUUCAUCUUCGGGGGUAGAGCACUGUUUCGGCUAGGGGGUCAUCCCGACUUACCAACCCGAUGCAAACUACGAAUACCGAAGAAUGUUAUCACGGGAGACACACGGCGGGUGCUAACGUCCGUCGUGAAGAGGGAAACAACCCAGACCGCCAGCUAAGGUCCCAAAGUCAUGGUUAAGUGGGAAACGAUGUGGGAAGGCACAGACAGCCAGGAUGUUGGCUUAGAAGCAGCCAUCAUUUAAAGAAAGCGUAAUAGCUCACUGGUCGAGUCGGCCUGCGCGGAAGAUGUAACGGGGCUAAACCAUGCACCGAAGCUGCGGCAGCGACACUAUGUGUUGUUGGGUAGGGGAGCGUUCUGUAAGCCUGCGAAGGUGACCUGUGAGGGUUGCUGGAGGUAUCAGAAGUGCGAAUGCUGACAUAAGUAACGAUAAAGCGGGUGAAAAGCCCGCUCGCCGGAAGACCAAGGGUUCCUGUCCAACGUUAAUCGGGGCAGGGUGAGUCGACCCCUAAGGCGAGGCCGAAAGGCGUAGUCGAUGGGAAACAGGUUAAUAUUCCUGUACUUGGUGUUACUGCGAAGGGGGGACGGAGAAGGCUAUGUUAGCCGGGCGACGGUUGUCCCGGUUUAAGCAUGUAGGCUGGUUGUCGAGGCAAAUCCGGAUAAUCAAGGCUGAGGUGUGAUGACGAGGCACUACGGUGCUGAAGUAACAAAUGCCCUGCUUCCAGGAAAAGCCUCUAAGCAUCAGGUAACAUCAAAUCGUACCCCAAACCGACACAGGUGGUCAGGUAGAGAAUACCAAGGCGCUUGAGAGAACUCGGGUGAAGGAACUAGGCAAAAUGGUGCCGUAACUUCGGGAGAAGGCACGCUGGUGUGUAGGUGAAGUCCCUGCGGAUGGAGCUGAGACCAGUCGAAGAUACCAGCUGGCUGCAACUGUUUAUUAAAAACACAGCACUGUGCAAACACGAAAGUGGACGUAUACGGUGUGACGCCUGCCCGGUGCCGGAAGGUUAAUUGAUGGGGUUAUCCGUAAGGAGAAGCUCUUGAUCGAAGCCCCGGUAAACGGCGGCCGUAACUAUAACGGUCCUAAGGUAGCGAAAUUCCUUGUCGGGUAAGUUCCGACCUGCACGAAUGGCGUAAUGAUGGCGAGGCUGUCUCCACCCGAGACUCAGUGAAAUUGAACUCGCUGUGAAGAUGCAGUGUACCCGCGGCAAGACGGAAAGACCCCGUGAACCUUUACUAUAGCUUGACACUGAACAUUGAGCCUUGAUGUGUAGGAUAGGUGGGAGGCUUUGAAGCGUGGACGCCAGUCUGCGUGGAGCCAACCUUGAAAUACCACCCUUUAAUGUUUGAUGUUCUAACGUUGGCCCUUACCGGGGUUGCGGACAGUGUCUGGUGGGUAGUUUGACUGGGGCGGUCUCCUCCCAAAGCGUAACGGAGGAGCACGAAGGUUAGCUAAUCUGGUCGGACAUCAGGAGGUUAGUGCAAUGGCAUAAGCUAGCUUGACUGCGAGCGUGACGGCGCGAGCAGGUGCGAAAGCAGGUCAUAGUGAUCCGGUGGUUCUGAAUGGAAGGGCCAUCGCUCAACGGAUAAAAGGUACUCCGGGGAUAACAGGCUGAUACCGCCCAAGAGUUCAUAUCGACGGCGGUGUUUGGCACCUCGAUGUCGGCUCAUCACAUCACGGGGCUGAAGUAGGUCCCAAGGGUAUGGCUGUUCGCCAUUUAAAGUGGUACGCGAGCUGGGUUUAGAACGUCGUGAGACAGUUCGGUCCCUAUCUGCCGUGGGCGCUGGAGAAUUGAGGGGGCUGCUCCUAGUACGAGAGGACCGGAGUGGACGCAUCACUGGUGUUCGGGUUGUCAUGCCAAUGGCACUGCCCGGUAGCUAAAUGCGGAAGAGAUAAGUGCUGAAAGCAUCUAAGCACGAAACUUGCCCCGAGAUGAGUUCUCCCUGAGACUUUAAGUCUCCUGAAGGAACGUUAAAGACGAUGACGUUGAUAGGCCGGGUGUGUAAGCGCAGCGAUGCGUUGAGCUAACCGGUACUAAUGAACCGUGAGGCUUAACCUUACAACGCCGAAG
rnacentral:rRNA from 1 species